GCCUAAUUACAGAUUGCUUUUCAUUCUUGGUCUUUCUUGGAGCAGUUUUACUAUAGAAUUUCUGAAGCCAACAAGAAGAGUGCUGACUGCCAGUUGGAAAAGUAAGAAUAAUGAGAAUUUGCUUGAAGCAAGAGAUGUUUUUCCUUUGUUUUCUUGUGACGAUGGAUGAUGUUCAGAACAAAAAUAUGCAGCAAUGAAGUCAGCCAACCUACUCAACCAUCCAUGUUUGAAACUUCACUUUCCCAUCACUUCUUUUUCUGGAAAGCUUUACUAGCCUUUCUAGUUUGCAGAGCGUUUG
rnacentral:misc_RNA from 1 species